AGAGUUUGAUCCUGGCUCAGAUUGAACGCUGGUGGCAUGCCUAACACAUGCAAGUCGAACGGGGGUAGUAAUACCCUAGUGGCGGACGGGUGAGGAAUGCGUAGGAAUCGGCCCACGAGUGGGGGACAACCUGGGGAAACUCAGGCUAAUACCGCAUGAGCUCGGGAGAGGAAAGCGGGGGAUCUUCGGACCUCGCGCUGGUGGACGAGCCUACGUCCGAUUAGCUGGUUGGUGGGGUAAUAGCUCACCAAGGCGACGAUCGGUAGCGGGUCUGAGAGGACGACCCGCCACACUGGGACUGAGACACGGCCCAGACUCCUACGGGAGGCAGCAGUGGGGAAUAUUGGACAAUGGGCGCAAGCCUGAUCCAGCAAUGCCGCGUGGGUGAAGACGGCCUGCGGGUUGUAAAGCCCUUUAGGCGGGGAGGAACGACUGGGUGUGAAUAGCAUCUGGAAGUGACGUUACCCGCGGAAUAAGCACCGGCUAACUCCGUGCCAGCAGCCGCGGUAAUACGGAGGGUGCGAGCGUUAAUCGGAAUUACUGGGCGUAAAGCGUGCGUAGGCGGAGAGGUCAGUCGGUCGUGAAAGCCCCGGGCUCAACCUGGGAACGGCGGUCGAGACGGCCUGUCUGGAGUGGGCUAGAGGAUCGUGGAAUUCCGGGUGUAGCGGUGAAAUGCGUAGAGAUCCGGAGGAACACCGAUGGCGAAGGCAGCGGUCUGGGGCCACACUGACGCUGAUGCACGAAAGCGUGGAGAGCAAACAGGAUUAGAUACACUGGUAGUCCACGCGGUAAACGAUGAGCACUAGACGCCGGGGGGGUGACCUGUCGGUGUCGCAUCUAACGCGCUAAGUGCUCCGCCUGGGGAGUACGGGCGCAAGGUUGAAACUCAAAGGAAUUGACGG
rnacentral:rRNA from 1 species